GACCGACUGGCCCAGUGGUUAAGGCGCUCGUCUUACAUUUAUAAGUAUUCACGAGAGAUCCCAGGUUCGAUCCCUGGGUCGGUCA